rnacentral:rRNA from 1 species
UACGUAGGGGGCAAGCGUUGUCCGGAUUUAUUGGGCGUAAAGAGCGUGUAGGCGGCCACACAGGUCGGCUGUGAAAACUCGAGGCUCAACCUCGAGACGUCGGUUGAAACCGUAUGGCUAGAGUCCGGAAGAGGAGAGUGGAAUUCCCGGUGUAGCGGUGAAAUGCGCAGAUAUCGGGAAGAACACCCGUGGCGAAGGCGGCUCUCUGGGACGGUACUGACGCUGAGACGCGAAAGCGUGGGGAGCGAACAGG